rnacentral:rRNA from 1 species
GCGAGUCAUUGUAGCAAUACAAGGCAGACGGCUCAGUAACGCGUAGUCAAUCUACCCUAUGGACGGGAAUAACCUCGGGAAACUGAGAAUAAUGCCCGACAGAACAUUAUACCUGGAACGGUUUAUGUUUCAAAUGAUUUAUCGCCGUAGGAUGGGACUGCGGCCUAUCAGUUUGUUGGUGAGGUAAUGGCCCACCAAGACUAUUACAGGUACGGGCUCUGAGAGGAGUAGCCCGGAGAUGGGUACUGAGACACGGACCCAGGCCCUAUGGGGCGCAGCAGGCGAGAAAACUUUGCAAUGUGCGAAAGCACGACAAGGUUAAUCCGAGUGGUUUCUGCUAAAGAAACCUUUUGCUAGUCCUAGAAACACUAGUGAAUAAGGGGUGGGCAAGUUCUGGUGUCAGCCGCCGCGGUAAAACCAGCACCUCAAGUGGUCAGGAUGAUUAUUGGGCCUAAAGCAUCCGUAGCUCGUUUUGUAAGUUUUCGGUUAAAUCCAUACGCUUAACGUAUGGGCUGCCGGGAAUACUGCAUAACUAGGAAGUGGGAGAGGUAGACGGUACUCGGUAGGAAGGGGUAAAAUCCUUUGAUCUAUUGAUGACCACCUGUGGCGAAGGCGGUCUACCAGAACACGUUCGACGGUGAGGGAUGAAAGCUGGGGGAGCAAACCGGAUUAGAUACCCGGGUAGUCCCAGCUGUAAACUAUGCAAACUCAGUGAUGCAUUGGCUUGUGGCCAAUGCAGUGCUGCAGGGAAGCCGUUAAGUUUGCCGCCUGGGAAGUACGUACGCAAGUAUGAAACUUAAAGGAGUUGGCGGGGGAGCACCACAAGGGGUGAAGCCUGCGGU